rnacentral:rRNA from 1 species
CUACGGGGUGCAGCAGUGAGGAAUAUUGCACAAUGGGGGGAACCCUGAUGCAGCAACGCCGCGUGGAGGAUGACGCAUUUCGGUGUGUAAACUCCUUUUAUAUGUCAAGAAAAUGACGGUAGCAUAUGAAUAAGCACCGGCUAACUCCGUGCCAGCAGCCGCGGUAAUACGGAGGGUGCAAGCGUUGCUCGGAAUCACUGGGCGUAAAGGACGCGUAGGCGGGUUGGAAAGUCAGGUGUGAAAUCCUACAGCUUAACUGUAGAACUGCGCUUGAAACUUCUAAUCUAGAGUAUGGGAGGGGGAGAUGGAAUUAGUGGUGUAGGGGUAAAAUCCGUAGAUAUCACUAGGAAUACCUAAAGCGAAGGCGAUCUCCUGGAACAUUACUGACGCUAAGGCGUGAAAGCGUGGGGAGCAAACAGGAUUAGAUACCCUCGUAGUC